rnacentral:rRNA from 1 species
CCUACGGGAGGCAGCAGUGGGGAAUAUUGCACAAUGGGGGAAACCCUGAUGCAGCGACGCCGCGUGAGUGAAGAAGUAAUUCGUUAUGUAAAGCUCUAUCAGCAGGGAAGAAAAUGACGGUACCUGAGUAAGACGCCCCGGCUAACUACGUGCCAGCAGCCGCGGUCAUACGUAGGGGGCAAGCGUUAUCCGGAUUUACUGGGUGUAAAGGGAGCGUAGACGGCAGUGCAAGUCUGGAGUGAAAGGCGGGGGCUCAACCCCCGGACUGCUCUGGAAACUGUACGGCUGGAGUGCAGGAGAGGUAAGUGGAAUUCCUAGUGGAGCGGUGAAAUGCGUAGAUAUUAGGAGGAACACCAGUGGCGAAGGCGGCUUACUGGACUGUAACUGACGUUGAGGCUCGAAAGCGUGGGGAGCAAACAGGAUUAGAUACCCGAGUAGUC